AGUUGCUUCAGCAGCACCUUACUAAAACUGGAAGGAUACAGGGAAAAUUAGCAUGGCCUCUGUGCAAAGAUGAAAUGCAAAUCCACAAAGAAUUUUAUAAUAAA